CCUACGGGAGGCAGCAGUGAGGAAUCUUGGUCAAUGGGCGCGAGCCUGACCCAGCCAAGUAGCGUGCAGGAUGACUGCCCUACGGGUUGUCACCUUCUUUUAUCAAGGCAUAAAGUGAGGCACGUGUGCCUUUUUGUAUGUACUUUAUGAAUAAGGAUCGGCUAACUCCGUGCCAGCCGCCGCGGUAAUACGGAGGAUCCGAGCGUUAUCCGGAUUGAUUGGGUUUAAAGGGAGCGUAGAUGGGUUGUUAAGUCAGUUGUGAAAGUUUGCGGCUCAACCGUAAAAUGGCAAUUGAUACUGGCAGCCUUGAGGACAGUGGAGGUAGGCGGAAUUCGUGGUGUAGCGGUGAAAUGCUUAGAUAUCACGAAGAACACCGAUUGCGAAGGCAGCCUACUAAACUGCCACUGACAUUGAUGCUCGAAAGUGUGGGUAUCAAACAGGAUUAGAUACCCUUGUAGUC
rnacentral:rRNA from 1 species